GCCACCACAACACACACACGCAAUUCCUGACUCACAGAUGGGUGGUAAAGAAGUGUCCAAUGAGUGAAGUACCAGCCCCAGAUGCAGCCUCUCAUCACAGACAGGACCUCAGUGGGAGAUGGAGAGAAACUCCACACCAGCAGCUGGAAGCUAGAUGACUGUUCCAUGUGUUCAUGUCUCACUGGAGAUCCAUAAAGCCUGACCGACACAGCCUGGGACCCAUCCUAUUUGUGUGUGCGUUUGAUCCACAUCCUCCAGUGAGAGAGAGAGAAAGACAGAGCCAAAGAACCGCCUGUAUGUAUUCAUCAGUUCCUGACAAGUAUUGUAUGGCAGAAUACACUAUAACCUUUUAUAUCAUUUUUGUGGCCCCUGUCUCAAUACUAGGAGUCACAUAAAAUAGUCUCUUUCUCUCUCUCUCUAUCUCUCUCUCUAGGAAGACAUUUUUUUAUACACAUUUGACUUGGAGUGACAGUGUUUACUUUCACCUCAUUUACUGUGGAAAUGAUCAGGCUGGUACACUGCUUCUCUUUCUCCCUUUUUUCUUCCGGGGACUCAGCUGUGGGCUCGGGAUCAUGGGACUAUGUUUCCGUGACAACCAGACAUCACCGGCAAUUGCUGACACUAAAAUAACAGACUGAAUAAUUUAGACAGAUCCAUUUUUAAACAGCAUGUCAAUUCACAUCACUGGCCACAGACACCCUGCUUGGCACCCUGCUGACAGGCCCACCCAGGCCGGGUGAAGGGUGGGGUGCAGCGUCCAAGACUCAUUUACCAACAAUCUGGCUGUUAGAGCUAGAAAUAUCCUGAAACAACUGUGGAAAUUAAAUUAGUUGUAUAAUCUAGGCCAAUAAAAAACACUCAAAAUGUUUCAAAUGAAUAUUUGCAUAAUAAAAAAUGCAUUGUAAUUCAGCAAAAACUGGUUCAGCAGCAGAAUAUGGAAUGAAAUCUACACAAAUAACUGGUCAGCAGGGACAGGGAUGGACCCCAAGUCAUAAAAUAUUGUUUAUCAACCACACCACCGAACUGAAAAUGCGUGUUUGAUGUUUAUGUUACGAGAGAUGAAAGCAGCCCAGUUUAAUGAAAGUAGCACAUGGCUCCACAAUCAAAGUUCAAAAGAAAUCAUCCAUCAGGCAUAAUUUUCACGUCUGAUUUUCUCAUUUAUCUCUGUUUAAAAAAUGACCACAGAAAUUAGCGUUGAUGACUGACCAUUUAUCAGCAUGGUGCAGUAUGAUAAUAAGAACUAAUUAAUAGAGACAGAUUUGUUACACAUGUAAUAUCAAGAAGUAAAAUCUGGGCCAAUGAGAGUUUAACUACUGGGGUCACCAGCGGAUUUAGAGAAGAAAGUUUGAAAUUUUGUUUCAUGCAUAAUUUGCAUAUUUUUUCACCCACUGUUUCACAUCACGUACUAUUACUUAUUAUCCCACUGAAAUGACAAGCUAACACUAACAGCACACACUCCCUCCUUUCAUCUCCCUCAGGUUUCUUAAAAGCUUCUACAUUUUAAGAGGAUCUUUUCUAUGUUUUAUGACAAGCUCGGGGAAAAACAUAAGCUUAGGGUUCAUAUAUCUGCACAAAUAAAAUAAGACAUAAGGCAAAGACAGACCCAUACAUGCUCACACGUCACACAGAUCCAACUGAUGGCUUAUUCAGAUGGAACCUCGGGCUGCAAACCAAAUGUUUGCACACAUGAUUUAUUCUGCUUUCCUCAAGGCCUGAGUGUUGAGAAAUAGUCAGACACCAUUGUGUCUGCAUAUGUGUGUGUGUGUGUGUGUGUGUGUAGCUGCUCUCCUGUUAUUUUACAAGCUCGUAUUCACACCCACACACGCCCAGUCACCAGAGGGCUAAACAGAAUAACGGAGCUGAGGAGUGGAAGGGCCUUGCAGGUGUCUCUCUACUCUGUCUCACUCACUUUGUCUCAUUUAAAUAAUGUCUCAUUAUCAUCUCUACCUUCUGCUAAAGAGAUAUUGUUGUGCAAACUUUAUGCCUUUUUAUUAUGAAAUCAUAAAAACAAAGAUACAUUUUGGCUAAAGCAGAUCCAUGUCUUGAAAGCAAGGGUUUGCAAAAUGUUCCUUUAAGCCCAUAUGUGUUGCUCUGUACAAAUUUAAAGUUUGGCAAGAGUCAGACCCACACAAGGUUUUACAGUCGUGUUCAGAAAAACACUGUUUAAUGUUUGAUUCACGUCGUUGCAUCUGUGCAAAAGAAACUGCGGUAAGUGACAAACAUUUCAGCCCCUGUGGACAGUCAAUUUCUGGAGGCUUCUAUUGCUGAUCCAUGAAAACAAUAAACAAAACACACAAAAAAUAUUCUUCCUGAGGACAGAGCUACUCUAAUCAACGCACAAUGGAAGGAGUGUAUGCAGUACUAUUAUCAAUGCAUGUCCAUCACAUCAACAAAAACUGAAAAUUGCAGUUUCAAUUCUACAUUUCUAAUUCAGUGGAAUCAUAAUUUACAUAAAAAUACCUUCCAGCUUGCUUCUUUUUUCUCAGUUUUUCCCCUCUGACACAAUAUUUUGAAUUUGACCUUAUUUCGUGUUCUGGGAUUUUGGGAGAAGAAUCCUCCUGACACACCCUGUCAUCCCUUCACACACACACACACACACACACAACCUCCUCUCACCCCACCAACCUUCAGGCGGUGCACCUGGGUACAACUCUCUCACACACACACACACACACACACACACACACACACACAAAUGUGCGCAUAAACACAUUCCCCCACACGUACAAAUGCACAACUCACAAGGACAAAAACACACAAAUGCAAACUCACACAGACAGACACACAGACUGUGUGUGUCCAGUCUCAAACAGCCCAUCAAAUUGUGCUUCAAAAUCAGUGUUUGGGCAGAUUGUAGCUUUCGACAGCCAUGGUCAGGAGGUCUCCCAUUAGGUUUUAUAACAGCUUCAACAGUGACCACCUGGGAAAUGACAAACGCAUACAUACACACAAUGUGAAAACCACUGAGAGACACACAGCAGGAUUGAUCUCCCUCAGUGGUAUUGAUUAGCCUACCCCCAACUCAGAUCAGAAGAUACCAGCUGUGUCAAGCCAUUUGCUUCCUGAAGCGCUGCGUCUCCUGCAUGGAAGAUGAAAAUAAUGACGCCGCAAGCGUCUUCUCUCAGAGAAAUUCUGCUGGCUGCAAAAGGGCAGGAAGCCCACAGGGAAACAGUUACCUCAGAUGAAGGUUGCUCUAAGCCAUUUGUUUUGACCUCUGCCCUGGUCCUACUGAAUGUGUGUGUGUGACAUACUUUGUAUAACUACUGCUUUGGCUCAUGUGGUUGGUAUGUGAGUGUAUGUGUGCUAUGUGAAAAGCUAGUCUGUCAGUAAAAAUGCAACCGACUGUG